GAGCCCAUGGCUCAGGAUAAAGCUAAGAAGGUCGCAGCCACAAGUUCAAUAGCGCAAAAGCGGAGCAUCAAGGCAAAAGCUAGCUAAAAGUAGAGGUCUCGAGAUCAAGCCGACACCCCUUGCCGCGCCUUCACCAUGGUCGCCUUGAUCAGCUCCAUAGUCUCGUUCAUGCGGUCGACGUCACGCUUCUUCCCCAGCGGUGCCCAUACCUGAAGGAAAAUAUGACAUUUGAAGAUUAUAUCAGCGGGGUGUGCCGGGAACUUGUGUUCAAUCAUAAUUUUGUUCCGAACCAUCCAGAGGGACCAAAGUAGCGCCCCAACGCAUCUCCAAACAAUCCUAGCAUUGGCCCCUCUUUGCGACGUUAAGAUAGCAAGCACGUCGUGACUAGACUGUGGAUUCCAAUUUUGUUUGAAGGCGUCUCUAACCGCACUCCACGCAAAUCUAGCGAGCACACAGCCAAAGAACACAUGGUUCGCGUUUUCCCCGGUUCGCGUUUUCCCCUAAACCGCAGGUGGUGCACGUUCCGUCCGCCGGCCCAUUGCGCUUGGCCACGUUAUCCGACGUAGGUAAGCGGUUGCGAAACAUUUGCCAUAGGAAAAUCUUGAUUUUGAGAGGAAUGCCAGCCUUCCAUAGCCCCCUAGCUAUAUCCAGCGUAGUACCCUCGGAGAGCUUGUCGUAUAGGGACUUGACCGUGAAUCUAUUGGAGGCGGUCAACUUCCACGUUAUCGUAUCCGCCCCAUUACUACGAGUCAGCCCUCCCAAGUUAGCCGUCAAAGCGUCCCAGCUAGCGGCCUCCGUAGUCUCUAGAGUCCUAAUGAAAGAAAUGGCUGGAGGUUGGACUCGCAUAGCAUCGGCCACCAUAAUGUUGGUGUCCGUUGCCAAUUGGUACAGUUCCGGGUGUGAUUGCCACAACGGUUCCUGACCCCACCAAUGGUCAAGCCAGAAGCGUGUGGACUUGCCAUCGUUUACCCGGAACUGCGCACCCACUGUAAAAGCCGGUCGGACCGCUUGGACCCCGUUCCAAAAGGCCGAACCGUUGCUUUUAGUCUUGAACAAAUUCCCGUCUGGGAAAUAUUUAGCCCGGAGGAUGUCUGCCCAGAGUCCCGACUCGUUUUGGGCGAGACGCCACCACCACUUAGUAAGCAUGGCCACGUUCAUGAGUUUAGAGUUCGUAAUACCUAGGCCGCCAAAUUUUUUUGGCCUACACACCGCUGCCCAUUUCACUAAGUGGUACUUGCGCUUGGUCCCAGCUCCUUCCCAAAAGAACCGGGAACGCGGAGUAUCGAGUCUAGCGUGAACCCCAUCCGCAAGUAGGAACAUUCCCAUUGUGAAUAUAGGAAGGGAAGAUAAGCUCGAGUUGGUGAGGAUAAGCCUCGCCGCCGAGGACAUAAACCUGCCCCUCCAAGGGCUCACUCUGUUAGCGACUUUCCCAUACAUCGGUUCCCAUUCCGCUAUGGUAAGUUUCUUGGUCGAGAUCGGGAGGCCCAAGUAUUUAAUCGGGAAGCUCCCUAGCUUGCAAUUAAGUAGAUUCGCAAUCCGAGUGCUUGCUAGAUCAUCCAUCCCAAUGGUGAUCACUUCGCUCUUCAGAAAGUUGAUCUUAAGCCCCGAUAAAAUCUCGAACGCAAGUAGUAGUAACUUGAUGGUAGCAAUGCUGUGGUCGUCGGGUUCGAAUAAGAGCAUCGUAUCAUCUGCGUAUUGCAGAUGCGUGACCCCACCAGGAAUAAGGUGGGAUACCAGCCCUUUAAUGUGCCCCUCUGCCCGUGCUUUAUUAAUCAUGGCCGCCAGGGCAUCCGCAACAAAAUUAAAAAUGAGCGGCGAGCUUGGUCUCCCUGACGGAGACCUCGUUUGUUACGGAAGAACUUGCCCAUUGUGCUAUUGACAUUGACCGCCGUGUGCCCACUACACACGAGGUGCAUGAUGCGAUGCACGAAUCCUGCCUCAAAACCCUUUUUGAGGAAGACCUCUCGCACGAACUCCCAGUUCACGCGAUCGUACGCUUUCUCGAAGUCUAAUUUAAGCAGCACUCCCUGUGCCUUGGUCCGUUUUAACUCGUGCACGAUCUCUUGUAACGCAAUUGGUCCCUCGAGGAUGUUACGAUGUUUGAGGAAACCCGUUUGACUAGAGCUAAUAACUCGUUGAGCGACCGGAGCCAAGCGCGAGGCAUAAGCUUUCGCACAGAUUUUGAACGGGACGUUAAUGAAGGUAAUGGGUCUAAAAAGCUUAAUGUUAUCCGCCCCAAUCACCUUAGGAAUAAGGCUAAUGGCACCAUAGUUCAAACGGGAUAGGUCCACCGUGCCUAAAGCGAAGCCGUUGACAAUAUCAUAGAAUAAGUGUUUAAGGCAGGGCCAAAACUUCUUAAAGAACUCGACAGGCCAUCCGUCCGGCCCAGGCGCCGUGCUCGUUUUCAUGCCGUGUAAGGCCUGGUCUAUUUCCUCAGGAAGGAAAGCAAGGGCAAGCCUAUCGUUCUCCUCCUGCGAUACACGUUCCGCGGUAUCCCACAGAUCACUGCGCAAACGUAACGGUUUUUCGUCGGCCGUCCCCAAAAGACCUAUGAAAAACUCGUAGAUAUGAGUCAUAAUUUGUUCCUGCGUCAACAGGAUACCGUGAUCUGUUUGGAGACGCAGAAUGGAGCACUUCCUUUUCCGCCCGUUCGCGUAGGCAUGGAAGUAUCCAGUGUUUGUGUCUCCUUUCGUGACCCAUUUGACUCCGCCCCUGCGUCGCCAAUAUUCCUCUUCCGCGCGCAAAAUCGCCGUUACUUGAUUUUCUAAUGCGUACCUAUGAGCCCACUCGGCCUCCGAGAAGGGGCGGCGAUCUGCCUCAGCAUCUAACAGCGCAAUAGUCUCUACAAUGCGCGCGCGCUCUUUCUUGGACUCGCUACCGUGGUUAGCGCCCCACCCACGAAGGAAGGCACGAAGCUUGCCGGCAGCCGCGUUCCAGCUCUCUGCUGGCCCGCGUUGAGGCCCCAGAUGAGUGCAAAUCUCGCCCCAACGCUCUACCACCAACUCGGCAAAUCCCUCCGCUUCGAACCAAGCCGUUUCGAAGUAAAACCUAGGACUACGUCGGAUGAGAUCCUCCCCUGAGGAAAGAAUCAGCGGAACAUGGUCUGAUCCAAUGCGCGUCUCCGCCACGAGAGAGCACAUGGGAAACAGCACCUCCCAUUCAGGCGUAAAAAAGACCCUGUCCAGCACGCUACGGACCGGCUGCGUUUGUUUGUUAGUCCAGGUAUAUCUGGCACCAGUCCGUGCUGCUUCCCGCAAUGCUGCUGCCGCAAUGGCAUUAUUGAAUAAGGACACCCUAGCCCAAUCAAUAUUAGCAUUAUUCUUAUCCUCCCCCGAGCGAAUCAAGUUAAAAUCACCCCCCACCAGUACUGGGAGGUUGAUUGCCCUUUUGGCCCCAACUAGGUUGGUCAGUUCUAGUAGGAACGCCGGCGAUCUGGCGUGGUCAGCAGGUCCGUAUACACAGACGACCACCCACGACAAACCUGAUACACGAUGUUUAAUAGUAGCGGAUAAAAGGAAAACGCCAACAUCCCACUGCAGAACAUCACAUACAUCUUUAUUACAACCCAACAAAAUGCCACCAGAAUGCCCAACAGAGGAAACCCAAUGCCAAUCAAAACGUUGUAGGGGGUCAUAAGCAAGCAAUUCUCUGAAGGUAAAAUCAGUUUUAAUCGUCUCUUGGAGCGCAACCACGUCAAUACGUUCUUUGGCCAUGUAUUCUUUAAGUUGCGUGCGUCGACCACCGUGGCCACAGCCACGGGUAUUCCAGAACAUGUACCUCAUCUAAAUAACCCGGUUACGUAGGCGCACACCCCGAGAGGUCACCGCCUUCGCCACUCUCUUCCUAGUCGUCACUCGGCCAUUAGAAGGAAGGACACCAGCUUCCCUAGCUUGUGUCACCUCGUCGGGCACUCUCUCGUCACCAGCCUCUACUGGCACAAUAGCUAACUCGUUGUUGUUAGCGCAGCGCACGGCGGCGGCCGUCAGCGCAGCCUGCGCCUCUUCCCUAGCACGCACGAGCGAUAUAAUAUCGGACUCAGACCCUCGGGUCUCCACACCGCAAUCGUGUAAAAUGCUCGCCAGGUGCUCAUCCAAGAAGGCAUUUAGAAUGCGGAAAGAUGGCAAGGGGCUACCUGCGGCGUCCAUGUUCUUGUCGGCGAUGCGGAGUUUGGCGCUCUCCAAGGAAGAGAGAUCACCGAGCUUGGCCUUGGCCCGAACGCUAGGAGCGCGCUGCACCACCGGGAUCGCCUUGGUGCGCCUGGCCUUGUUGUUAGUACCCGUCACCCCCAGCGCCGCCCCCAACUCGCCACCAAGGUCAGAAGUCUCCACCUCCGCCACCAUCAUCGCCUGCUUGUUAGCCAGUUUCCUCCCCGCCGUUUUCUUUGGUUGCCUACCACCGCUGUUGGAGCCCCGACACGGAGCAGGCGUAAGGUCGCCACCCUCGAUCACCACACAACCAGAGUCCGCCCCCACGGCCACUGGAGAGGAUGAGGCAGGAAGAGAAAUAGCCGAGGAGACCCCGCCCGCGCCACUCGUAGUCGCCGCCACCUGGAUCGGAGCAGGGUUGGUCCCGAACUCGUUGAAGGAAAGCUCCAGCGACCGGGCUAGCGGAGGCACGCUCACCGCGGUGUCCUGGGUCGCCACCCCCAUGGCACCAGUCUCAGCCGACAACGCACCCAACUUAUCCCAAGUUUCCGUGUCAAUGGAUGUAUCCUGUAUGUUGUCAUCUUGUUCCUCCCCCCUGUCUUGCAUCUUGGCAUCCUGGUUCGCCGCAUCACUAGGGCCGCCCUCGCACCCAUGCAGCUCAUUGCCUAGUUCAGCCCUACCUUGUUUGUCAUUGCCCAGCAGCCGUGCGCCUGGAUUCGCGUCCUUGGUAGGAGGAUUGGAGGGGCCAGAUCCAAGCCCAGCCCGCUCACCACCCCUUUUGGGCAGGGUCUCACGCUCCACCUUGAUUUGAUAUCCCUCGUGGUUGAACCACACCUCGACGACACCAUUCAGCUUCUCCGGAGCUUUGCAAGCGAGCUUCAUCCGAACAGGCCCCAACAUGAUCAGAGACAGUUCAUCGACCACGAUUGGCCGGCCCAGCAUCCGGAACCCCUCCCUGAUGCGGUCUUCACGUCUGUGCUUCUUUGGAAUGCCAUGGAGUCGCACCCAAGUCUCCGGCAUCACCAUGGGUUGGACCUCCUUGUGAAGCAUGUCGCGCACACGCGCAGUAAUGUCAUUGAUAGACAAAAACAACUUACCACUUGAUUUCGCCAUGUGUAACAGAUCUGCAGAAGGAAAGACCACCACGAAAUCGUCGUCGCCCACUUGUGUUACCUGCCAAUCCCAAUCUCCGGUCACCAUGUGCUUCAGUUCUUGCUUGAGAAUCCGAAGAUUAAGCUUCCCCGGCUCCGCAGAGAGGAUGGCAGCGUUCUUGAUGCGAGCAUCGAUGGGGGCUUCGGUCUCGUCCGCAUCCUCGAACUCUAGGCAGAAGAACCCUUCCCCAGAUAUGGCACUUCCCAUGAUUUGAAGGUGAAGCUGCCGGCCCCUCGUCGGACAGUGAGCGGACGCGUGCCCUUCUUCCUUGCAGAGCACACAGAGGGGCAAGAACUUGCACUUGGAUUGGAAGUGACCGAGGCGCCCGCACUUGAAGCACUCCACGUCCGGUGCCUCCUCCACUGGGAUGGGCUCCUCCGUCGUCCCCUUAGAUGCAGAGGGCAGCGCCACCGCCAGUGGAUCUGCAGGUGCACGCGGCUUCUUGGCCAUUGGAUCCCCGUGGGCCCCACCACAGUAGGGGUGAGUCUCAUGCUUCCUCUCAAGCUCGCGCCGUCGCUGCUAAACCUUCUUUUUCUUCUUGCGCUCCUGCUGCUGGAUCCACCACGGGGGAGGAGGACCCCAAUCCCCCUCACGCCCGCCAUGGUCACGAGAUCCGCCACGUUCUUCUCUGGCCUCGCGGCCACCCGAAUGCUCGCGCAUCACACGCUUCGCCUUGUCGCGCAGCUCCCGCUCCCUGCGCCGCUCCGCCUCCGGAUCUGACACCUCCAUCGGUCUCUUGUCUGCACGCCGAUCUCCCAUCACCACCGCCGCGAAGGAUUGGAGGAGGGGGGGAGGGGGCAGAUCUUGAUCGUGCGGGCGGAGUGAGCGAGGCGCCGCACCUCGCGAGUGGUAGCUGGAAACCCUAAAAGGGGAUCCAGGCAACCCCUCCUCACCCAUUUAUAGCCAGUGGUCGAGCGAGUACCGGGCCGAGGCGCGUUGGGCCGCUGGGGCACUUGGGGCCGUGUGUCCGAGGCCAUCUCCAGGCCCAGCCCCACUGGAGGGUCAGAUAAGGGCCCAGACUGUCCCCCCAGCCCAGGCCCAGAACCCUCAGCCAGCCCCACACCCGACGUCAGCCCAGGAAGACCCCCCGCAGUCGGCCCAUCCGGCCCAACCCUAGGGCACGGUGCCGAGUGCAUCGUCUCCAGACCGCACGGCGCCCCCGCCGCCUCCGCCGCCGCCACCACAGGGGGUGCCGGCAGGCACGGCCAGUCCUCCCUGGACAACUCCGACUGCGCCACCAUCAGGCUCGCCGCCGCCUUGGCUCUAAUAAGCGUCGCCGCCCCCGACGAACCGCCAGCUCCCGGGCCCGAGCUGCACGACCUCGACGGCAGCCAGAUGUGCGAGGCCAUGGAUCUGGAGCCACGGCCGCCCGGCGCGAAGCGCCUUCCACGCCCCGAGCCCGAGCCCACACCACUCUUCUGCGUCGCAAAGGCCACGAAAUCUCCAAUCGACGGCCCUGCAGGCACCGCGCACAGGCCCCGCUCCGACUCCAGCUCCCCGUCCUCGGCCUCCUCCUCCGAGUCCUCCGCCGCCAGCGCCCAGAAGCGGUUGUGUCGACCGUCGUCCACCGCUGCUGGUGAGCCGGCGCGGCCCUCCCCGCCGCUCACCUGGUGGCUGCUCGCGCUGCGCCGGACCACAGACCAGUCCGCCGUCACCGCCGUGGUUGGCUGCCCCACCGUAGCAGCCGCGUCGCCCGCGCUGUCGCCUAACCCCAUUGUCUCACUCAUCUCCACUUGCCUAGCUAGCUAGCCAGUUUCGUAGUAGUCUGCUAAGUAAUCUCUUUGUUUAACUCUUACCUUUCUAUCUGCCAUGCGAAAAGAGGAGGUAAGAGGGAUGCAAUGUAGGAGGCCUGAAUUUAUAUAGAUAUAUGUAUUAUCCUCGAUGAUGAACAUAUAUAGUUGUGUAGUAUCUUUUGUGAACAAAGAGUUGACGCGUGAGGAACAUGCUUUUACAAUGGUUAAAAAAUGCGCUGAUACUUUUCGCUCCCCCAGUUGAUACGGUCUGAUCCUCUCUAUAGAAAAGCCUGAUUCGUUCUGAUCACGAAUUAUUUGGUACCUGCAGACUAAUGAUGCACCCUUCGUGCUAGCUUUGCAUUGAACCUGUCAUACCCGAGCCAUGGCUCCGGAGUACAGCUAGUGUAUAAGUAUUAUAUAAUCAAACCAGAUCAUCCUCCCAAUCUCCAUCCAAUUAAGCGCGUAGGUAUCUUCACGGACAGAUCCGACUCAUGCUUGGCAUGCAUGAUCGAUGAGGCUUUGCUGUCCCCCCAGGGCCGGAUCGGCUUUCAUGGUCGGAUCGACUCAAAUUGCACAAAUCCCAAAUGGUACUUUUCAAUCAAAUCUUUUCGGUCAUCAUCGCAUGCAUGUGUUGCGCGCUGCAUGCAUGGAUUAUAUAAAGAGAAAAAGAAAGCUCUACUAAUUUGCAACUCGAUCGAUCCCUAACUAACAUGAUAGUUCCUCCUCAUGUGAAAAGCACUAUGUGCCUCUUCUCCCUCCCCCACCCCAUAUAUAUACGUACUACACAACUGACAGGAACAGGAUGAUAUUUUAUAUACGUGCGUUUCACCCGCUGGGCGUGCAUGCAUGCACGUUACCUGCAGCAAGUUGCAUGCCAAUGGACUAGACCGCGUCCAUCGCCUAGCAAAAGGGUUUAGGGCUUCUCCAAUGCAAACCCCUAAAACGUACACGGUAUCCGUCCACGGACAUGUCCGCCAACAGUGAUAUGGGAGCCGGCCAUUUAAUCAUAUCCGCAUACAUUUUAAAACAAAGUUAAAUAAAACAGACGGAUUUUAUUAAACAUGAUGAAUUCACUAAAGUUCGGUCAUAAUUUACGCCGUCGUCUGUGUGUCGCCUUCGUCGCCGGAGUGGUCCCCCUAGCGGUGGAAUGGCGUGGGGGCGCAGCAGCCCUACCCGGCCGCCUCCUGGCGCUUGUGCCGGAGCCGCUCCACUUCCUCUUGUGUCAUGCAAAGGGCCGCCACAGCUAACACCGACAAAGGCCGAGGAGCCUUGCCCAUGCCCAUACCGGCGGCGGCGGCCGUCUCACCGGGAGACCACUGCUCGCCGGUCUUGACGAGCUCGCCAUGCGGCCGUCACGGCGGUGGUGAGCCACUCCUGCGCGCGCUGCCUGCCUCGCAGUCCUCUUAUCUGCUUUGACGGUGCUCUUCGACGACGAAGAUCCACCGCCACCACGGCCACCAACGUCGUGGAGGAGCCCACAAACCUUGCCGAUCGCCGGCGGCACCUCCUCCUUCACGGCGUUGUCGUGCCAGUGCGGCGACGAUGUCGGCUCCUCCGUCACACAGUGCCUGAUUUGGACGCCUCGGUUGUGUGAGUGGGACGCCAGCUCAGCCUUCAUGCGACAGAGAGGAGGAGAGGCCGGCUCAUGCUUCACGCGGUAGCACAGUGGCGACGAGGGCUCCUAUUUCACGGACCACGGUCAUGGAGAGUCCCAUGCGUUAUGAGCUCGAUCUGUCGCACAAACGCAUCGUCCGUGAUCGCGGCUUCCGAGAGGAGGCACGACUGCUGCAGCAGCUGCUCCUCCUCGUCACUGGAGGAGAUUGUCAUCUCCUCCUUCUUGAAGGAGCUGAUAUAGUGGAGGAUGAGGGCCCCAGAAAGUGAGGGCGACGACUCUAAGAUCUGGAGCCGCCACCGCCUGUCGACAUGGAGAUACGGUACUUGGCAUGGUGGAGACGGUGGUCUGGUGCCGGAGGGGAGGGGAGAGGGUGGGUGCAUAGAGGUGGGCGCAAUGCGGACGGUGUCGGAGUGGAACUUUAUAAAUAGUCCUGGUUAGGCAAAGUGACGCAAAAACGGCUUCAAUGUGGCGCACCGGCCGGAGUAGGCUUCUUGUCCGCCAUGUCAGUAUUGAAGCGGAGCCGCCCGCUAGAUCAGUCGCGUCGCUCUGACCAGAAUCAAUGUCGUGGAGUCGUGACCGCUCUAGAGUGUCGAUGAUUAGCAUGAAUGUGUGGCAACCGCUUCGUGCGGGAGAGGGUUUUGGGUGGAACCGGGGUGUUAGAUGCGGGCAUCACAGCAUUCCAGACACCCGCAAAGGCCCCCGAUUUGCAGGAAAAUGGAUGUCUGGACCUGUCCGUGGACCAAUGGGUACCGCGUUGGAUUGCAAAACCUGUCCAGACCGCUCGGUCCAGCCGAGAGCGUAGGGUGGUGCAGCCUUGGUCGAGGAAACUGUGCAAGGUACGCCAUGGUCGAGGUUGAGUCCUGGGUGGCCGAUGUUGAGGUAGUCAUUGGGGAGCCGCGGGUGCAAGGAAGUGUCGUGUAGUCAGGAGUGCAGCGAUGCGCUAGAAAGAAGACAGUGUUGACGAGGCACUGCAUCGGGUUUGCUAAGACUGGACACAUCGUGGACGAACACACGCGUCGGUAUUCAGCACCGGACAUCCGUAGAUGAGGAUAAGUAAAUAUUGGCGAGGGGUCGCACCGGAUUUGCCAAGCCCGGGGACACGUCAUGGAAGAAGGCACGUGUCGGUGUUGCCAGCACCGAGCAUGCGUAGACAGGGACCAACAUAAACUGUAGACCAUGUUGGAGGGACCAGCAAAGGAAGACUCGACGAUGGUUGUGGCGCAAAUGCGGGGGGGGGAGACAAGGUGUCAAUGUUGCCACGGUUGCCAGAGUAGAUGAAGUGGUCAAAAGGAAGAUGACGGCGGCGCUGGUGAUGAGCUGGUGCUAGACGAAGGCGAAGAUAUGGUCGGCGAUGUGGUCGGCGGAACCAAAGGUAGCCCGUGAUGGGCCACGUCGAUCGCCUAUAGAAGCGUGGCGGCGGUCCUCGAAGUAGGCGAGGAAGAACCCAACAUAUUUACGAAGACUGUGCGCGGACUGCACCUAGGGAGGUGGCACCACACGCACCACGUAGACAUCGACGCAUGAGGACGGCGUACCACGACGCUACGGCCCAAAGGGGCGACACAGCAACAACGCAUAUGUCGGUGCAACGACGGGGAAGACCUCUGGGCGGUGGCGUGGACCCCAUGCCAUGGUGUUACGACCUGAAGGGGCGACCUAGCGGCAGCGCGCAGGGUCGGUGCAUCCGCGGGGAGAAUCACGGGGUAGCGGCGCGGCGGUCUGUUGCUCAAUCGGUGUAGAGCCGCGCAAACUCGAGGAAGAUCUCCACGGGAAUCUGCGGAGACGUGCGCAAACGACUGAUCAGGUCGGUCCCGCAGCGUCGAUGGAGCAGAUCGCGGGUGGGCGAGUGCUCAACCGAUAGCUCCCGAGGUCGGGGUGUCCGCUGGAUCAGAUGAGGUGGCCGGUCCAAGCGUCGUGGAUUGGUGGUUGGCGUGAUCGGCCGACCAUGGCUGCGCCAACUACCCUCGUGAGGGGCGUGUGAGUUGGCCCCGUGCAGACAUAGAAUGACCGACGAUCAACGUCGACGGAGACGGGGUUGAUGGAGGAGCCCUAAGCGGAGCAGGACGAUGACGAGCGACGCAGAACGACGGGCGGACGGACGCGUUGACGAUGGCCGUUACGGGCCGACGUUGUCGCGCGAGGCGCCGUGUCAAAGAAGAGGUUGGGUAGUCGUGCCGGUGUCAGAGUAGAGGCGCACGAGGGUCGACGGGCGGCGGACGAUGCAAACUGAUCUUAGAUCGGAAAACCAAAAAGAACCACCGAUCAAAACGACCAGUGUGAGAGAAAAACCCGGAUCAAAUGAUUGGAAAAAAGACUCUCCAAGGCAGUCGAUCAACACGAUCGUAGACGAACUCUAAGUACAGGCGACGCGGCCCUCGGUGAAGAUCAUGGAGAUCGACUUCCUGGGGCGCACAGUGCGGAAGCGGCGACUGCUCGGGUUUAGGAUCGGGGUUACGCUGAUACCAUAUAAGAGCAAUAGAGAUGGAUUGGUGGAAUCGACGAUGUAUUGCUUGAGCCGCAUGAAUGUAUAUAAGAGUACAUGAUCUUUUUAGAGUACAAGACAAGUUAGAAUAAUUUCUAGUCUACUCCCUCCAUCCCAUAAUAUAAGAGCGUUUUUUAAAUGGAAUUAAAAGAUUUGCCUCUUCAAUUAAAUAAGGGAAAGUAGAGUUUAGAGUUUUACGACGCACUCACAAAUAAGCGGCAUGACAAUUACUCAUACAAUAUGAUGUUUCCUAGUUUUCUUACGUCGGCAGUAACCCAAAGUUUAACAUCUCCUAAAAUGUUGGUUAGGAGGACCGACGGGGGUGCGCUUUUCCAACGGAAUACGCGGACGUUUCUCUCAUUUCAAAUGGUCCAAAAAACAAGCAUAAUGAGGAAAAUCAUUGUAUGGAGGUGAGGGUUGCGGUCGUCGGUUCUCUUUUGCCACCACUCAGUGACAAUUUCAUCUAACUGUCAUUCGAAGCUGUCCAUGUGCGCGAGCCCAAGCUUCUCUAUGAUUGAUCUUCAGAGCCUAAGAGCGUUUAUGACAUUAAUAAGUGUCAAAAAUAAUUUUAUAUUAUGAGAUGGAGGGAGCAUAAUACUCAAGAAUUUGCGCAAAUUGCACUCCUUCUGUAUUAUUUAUAUACUACGUGCCAACUUAAAAGUGCGUACUUUGAGUAGUUGGAGGCGCCGGCCAUUUGGUCUUGCAACUGGGAGCUGUCAGUUGAUUUCUAUAUUGCCCAAAGCAGGCCGCAGCGCCAGCCUUCUCGACUUUAGUUUCGUAGUUCGUACAUCCAUGUGUAUGGCUGUGCAGGGCCGGUCCUGGGAUUUCGGGGGCCGGGGCGAAAUUAGAACCAGGGGCCCCUUAAUAUAAACAUUUAACCUCUCCUGCCACAUUUACAUACCUCACUACAAUUCUUUGUUGAUAUGUGGCUAUCUAAAAGAUCUACAUGUUUUACAUAAUAAAGCAAAAAAAGUCACUUUGGAAGCAUACCUCGGCCAUCAGCAACACAUCGGCUGCCUCCUUGUACAUGUUCUUUGAUAAGAACUUUGCUUUUUCGUGAAAUAUUAGAACCUUCUGAUAAGCUUUAGAGAUAAGUUGGAUAAUUAGGUAAAUGUCAUAUGCUAUAUUAGAAAAUCAUUGAACAGAAAAUUGAUCAAUAUAUUACUUGAUAUGUCACAUGCAAAUCCAAGAACAUUUUAUCUCUACUUUGAUCCUGGAGACCUAAGAUGAAAUCUUCUACAUGGAAGGAGCCAUUUGAAUGCCUUUCAGAUUAUGCUUUUGCAUCAUCCCCAAAAUUGACCGUCUGAGUUAAACAGAUGAGUUCAUAAAAAACUUGAUGCAACUUAGUGGUUAAUCCUGCUUCAAAGACAUCGUCCCAUACUUCUAAUUUGUAAUCGAACAAUCACAGCAUGGCUCUUAAUUUUCGGAUACGAAGCAAAUAAUGCUCGUGGUGACUUCUUUUUUACGGUGGAAAAAAGGAAGGGCAGAAAUCUAAAAAAUCUGUACUACUCCACAGGAUUGGAUCAAAAAGUAGCAGAGAGAUCCUCACCGGAGUGUGACAAGAAGCCUACUUGCGCGCCCUUCCUCCGUUGCUGCUGCUGUAGAGGCGGCGGCGGCGAAGGCGGCGGCGGCGGCGAUUGGGGAGGGUUUGGCGUGCGCGGUGGGCGUAGA
rnacentral:lncRNA from 1 species